GCCACCGCCGUGUCGUUCGCGAAAGGUAGGGAGGGGAAGAUCGAGAAGGGUAGGAGGAAAACGAUCCUCCGAUUGAAGGGGCAAAUCGUUCCAAAACCCUACCAUUCUUUCCCCGUCAUUGAUUCGAGGUACGACUCUCCGUCCCCCACGACCGGCGGGGCCGCCGUGUGCCCUAGCUCGCACUCGCGUUCCUGGGGGCGGUCUUGGACGACAUUGUGGUGUCAGGCCAAGCAAGUGACUGAAGAAUUUGUUCGUAAUACAAGCAGAAAGCUAUUUCAUAUUACUGACACAUUGAUGCGCAAAGAGUAUAUUUGUGCAAGUUAUGCAGAAGUCACAUCAUGUAACAAGUGGGUUUGGUUUUGUGAACAAUUACUACCUACUCUAUUACCAAAGAUUCUGUUGCUGGGGCAUAUCUUUUAUCACUGCCCAAUAUAGGAUUGCUGUACGUGGUGGAUCAAUUUUAUAAUUUCAUCAUCAUUUAUAUCUCUUCUCUUCUUGGUGCAAAGAGGCUUUCAUCGAUGUCGGAAAGUGAAAAGGCCAUUAUCAAGCCAGAGGCCAUGAAGUCUUUUAUCUGGCUGCAAUGUGCUGAUGGGUCAAUUCAGCAAGUUGAAGAGGAGGUGGCAACAUUCUGUCCUAUGAUAUACCGAGAGAUCGUUCAGACAGGGAUGGGAUCAUCAAAAAACUAUGCUAUAUCUUUACCUGAACAUGUCAAUCCAGCGAUUCUGAACUUUAUUUUUGAUUAUUGCCGGUUUCAUCAAGUUCCUGGCCGCUCUAACAGGGAGCGGAAAUCUUUUGAUGAGAAAUUCAUCAGAAUGGAUACAAAACGACUGUGUGAAUUGACUUCUGCAGCUGACAGCCUCCAGCUAAAGCCAUUGGUUGAUCUCACUAGUCGAGCUCUUGCUCGUAUGAUAGAAGGGAAGUCACCGGAAGAAAUUCGUGAGACAUUUCAUUUGCCAGAUGACCUUACAGAAGUCUUAUAUCAGGAAGAGAAGCUGGAGCCAUUGAAAAAUGUAAAUGAUGAUCCACGGAUUCGGUUACUCAAUCGAUUAUAUGCUAAAAAACGUAAAGAACUAAAAGAGCAGCAGAAAUUGAAGAGUAAGGAAGCAGAUGAAGAGAAGAAAGAGGAGCGUUCUGUUGAUGAGAUUUUAUCUUUUAUAAAUGGACAUGAAGAUUCCAAAGGUGUUAAAGCUAUUAAAAAUAAGAAAAAGAAUAGGAGGAAAAAAGUUCUAUCAAAGGAUACCUCCGGAGACUCUGCCAAAGUGCACAGGAAGAAGGAAGACACCUUUUCUCCUAGUCCAAGUCAAAAUUUGGAAGUGCAAGGCAAUGUUGAAGAUGCAUUUGUAUCAAAUGUUGAAUUUGGAGAUGGUGAUAUCGAUGAUGAGCUAGAUCCCGCUGUGAAGGAAGAACUUGAUAGAGAAGUGGAAGAUUUUGCCAGAAGAUUAAAUUCUGAUUGGCCUGAAAGAAUGCAAGAAAUUUUGUCUUUAGGACAAGACAGGAGGCUUGUUCCUAAUUUGGUGAAUUCGAAUGGUUCGGUUCAGAAAUUCGCAGGCUUGGAUGGAAGAUGAUCUGUGUGUCAAACAUAGCUAAAUGGUUCUUCGUAUUUGUACAAAGGGCAUCUCUUUUUUUGGAUAGAGGGGUCGGUGGGUCAAUGUGUUUGCAUAUUUCUCAUCUUGUCAAGGCUUUUAAACUGGCAGCACAAGUCAGGAGUGGGCGUGAUCGAGCAAGGUGCAACGAAAGAUGGUAUCACGUCAAUGGGUAAUUAAGCCAAUGUUUCUGUGAAUAGAUUUCUCCAGAUUGUAUAUUAUGCUAGUGUGCCUCAAUCUUGUAUGAUUGCUUUCUGGUUGAAUUUGAUCAUCCAAAUCAUAUUGUCCAACUACCUCCUUAAUGUGUGCUUUGUUCUUGGCACUUUCAGAGCUUCUUGUUUUG